UGCACACAGUGUGAAAGAAACCGUAGGUGGUACAGCGGCUCACUGCCAUGGAGUAGUCAUUGUGUCAUUCAAGUCUCCUGAGUCUCUUGAAAGGGUCAUCAGGGACGUUGUCAUGGAAACCAUGAACGGAAUUAUUGCUGUAUUGAAGGGCUGGAAAGAGGGGUUGGAGGUAGCAGAGCAGCUUCGGGUGAGGCCUGAGAGACGGGGCUUCUUGUUGUUUUCACAGCCAGUGAGGGAAGAGUUCCCUCCUCAGACAUCAAUCCACAGGCUGGAACCUCUUAGCUUUGCUGUUCACAUUCAUGACUGACCCAACCAGCACUUUGAUUUGAGGUUAAGCAUUAAACCACAGACACUGAAACUUCGCAGUCUUCUGCCUCCACACGUGCGAGGUGAGGGGACUGUGACAGAGGAGCAACCUGCAGGCGACGAGGCUGGAGAACAACGCGGCAGCUCAGCUGGGAGCACACGGCACCAUCUCCCUCUUACAAAGCAUCCAUCCGGAUGGGAGUGCUCCAGCUGUGGUGCUCCCACUUCCUAGACUCGGGUAAGAGCAGAGACCCUGACCUCAUGUAAGAAACGGAUUGAAAUGGGGAAACAGAGAUAAGCCAUCUCCAUCAUGAAAAUCUGGAGAUCUGGUGCCAAAGCUGUUCACCAAAAGAGAUUUGCAUCUGGACCAGUGUCUCUGCCACACCGUCACAUACAGUCCCAGGAAGGGAGCUUAUUCAGGAUAUGAAAGGAGUGAUGGCUUCCUGAACUGGUGGCUUUGUCCUGCCUGAAGGGUAUUUGAUCACACUGUGAAACUCUGAGGCUGUGUUGAUAAAAUUACCCUUGGAUCAGGGGGCAGAAGCUGUGACUAGUUGAGAUGCUAAUCAACUCUUGGAUAUAGAUGUUUGCUGCAUUUGGUUCCUCGCCUUCCUCUCCACUUCAUCAGGCAAAUCCAGCCACAUAUGGACUCAUUUUUAAGGAUUAGACAUGACCCAGCAGAUGCACAAAUGAAUUCAUAGUGACUGUGACCCGUGUGCACAAGACCUGAGCCACCUCAUGGCAGACAAAAUCCCAGUGUGGAAUGGGACAGGACCAGGGCAUGUGGACAGUCGCUACUCCACCAACAUCAAGCUACUGUUCUCUGGAAGACAGCCUUCCUUUUAAUCGUCAUCUAUCUCAGAAUAUUUGAAAAAUAAGUGUUAUCCCCACUUUUUGAAACACACCACAGGGCUUGUACAAGCAGAAGUUGUUU